CACUUAAAUAAUAUGACCUCAAAAGGCAUAAAGCAAUGAUUUCUAGAAUUCUAAUGAUAAAUAAAUUGAUAAGCUGGACUUUCUCAAAACUAAGAACCUGUUUUUAGAAGAACACUGCUCAGAGAAUGAACAUACAAACCACAGACUGGGAGAAGAUAUUUGCAAAUCUCCUAUCAGAUAAAGGACUUGUAUCCAGAAUGUAUAAAGAACUCUCAAAACUAAAUAAUAAGAAAACAACUCAAGAGGAAAUGGGUGAAAGAUUUCACCACUUUGCCAAAGUAAACUAAAUGCAACACACAUCUCAGUGACUGUCUGGAUUUUCAGGGGAUGGGAACGGCAGGAGGCAGAGACCCCCAGGGGCAUGAGAAAACUUUUGGGGGUGAUAUAUACGCUCAUUGCUCAUUAUUUUGAUUGUGGUAAUGCUUUCAUGGCUAAUACUUAUGUCAAAAUUGUAUCAAAUUAUACAAUUUAUAUAUAUGUACUUUAUUGUAUGUCAAUUAUACCUCAAUAAAUCUAUAAAAAAUUAUAAACCUUCCUAUAAAGAAAACACUAGCCCAUUUACCUUUACUGGUGACUUUUCCAACAUUUAAUGAAAAAAAAUAACAUUCUUACACAAACUCUUUAAGGGAACAGAAAAAAAGGAAACACUUCCCAACUAACCCAUUUUACGGGACCAUUUUGUCCAUAAUAUCAAAACUUGACGAGGACAUUAUAAGAAAGAAAAAUUAUAACCCAAGCUUUCGUGAUUUAGAAGUGAAAAAGUAAACAAAAUAUUAGUGAGUCAACUUUAGCAGUAUAUAAAAAUGUGAAUACCUCACAACCAAGUUGAAUUUGUAUUAGGACAAAAACAAAGCAGGGCGUAUGUACAGAUGUUUCUUGAACAUCCCUGUUCUCAAUUUGUGGCCCUCUUCUCUAUCCUUCCUCACUGCUUAGUGGUCUUAUCCAAACUCACGGCUUUGAAUAUCAUCUAUGUGUUAAUGACUCCCAAAUUGAUACCUUCAAUCCUAACCUUUUCCUGAACCUAUAUAUCCAGCUGCCCCGCUCACCCUUUCCCCUGGGACGUUUAAUAGGCGAUGCCCACCUAGUACGUCUACAGUGAACUCUGGGUCCCUCCAACCUGUCCUUACCCCCUCAGGCUCUCGUAUCUCAUUGCCUUUCAGUGAUUUCCUACGCUCCACACUUGGAAUGACUGUGACCCGGUCCACUUGCCUUUACAUUGAAUUCAUCCAUCAUCCUCUCGUCUCCAUCUUCAAACAUGCCCAGAAUCCAACUACUUCUCACCAUCUUUCCUCACUGCCAGGUACCAUAUUUUUAUGAUUUAUGUUUAUCAUCUCUCUCCCCCACAAGCAUGCAAGGUCCCUGAAGGCAAGGCCUUGUCUCUCAUUACUACCAAAUUCCAGUGCUCAGGACAGUGGCUGCUACAGAGCAGGAACCCAAUCAAUAUUUUUACAAUGAAUGACCUACAGUAAUUUUCACACAUCACAAAAACUUAAAAGAUUGCUAUCAGUUUUGUAAGGAUGUCGGUCCACAGGUACACAUCCAUGUACUGUGAGUGUGAGUAUAAAAUGUUACAGCCCUUUUAGAGGUCAAUUUAACGGCGUCUAUUGAAACUUUAAAGAUGUGUAUCUUGAGCCCAGAAAUUUCACUUCUGGCAAGCCACUGGAGAAAACACUUGCCUUGUGCAAAAAGAGUGAAUAUGAAUAUGUUCUGCAGCAUCAGAAUAGUGGAAGAUUGGACUACCUGGAUGUGCUCGGGCAGGAGACCUGCUGAAAUGUCAGACAUUGUUCUUGUACUGACAAGAGCUCCAAGUCACAUUGUUAAGGUGGAAAUUUACGUUGCAUAAUAAUAUGUACAGUGUAUCCUAAUCAGCUAAAGUAUAUAUUUACAUAAUAUCUACAUAUGCUUGUGAGUGCAUAGAUAGCAAAAUUCCGAAAGGCUACAUACAAACUGAUGACAAUGAUUAUUUCUGGGGGAAGAUGAGAUGAGGGGAGAUGUCAAGGCAAACUUGAUUUAAUCUGUAUUGAUUUGGUUGUUUUGUUUGGUGAGGAAGAUUGUUGCUGAGCUACCACCUGUGCCAGUCUUCCUCUACUUUGUAUGUGGGAUGCCACCACUGCAUGGCUUGAUAAGCGGUGUGUAGGUCCCCGCCCGGGAUCUGAACCUGCGAACCCUGGGCUGCCGAAGCGGAAUGUGUGAACUUAACCACUAUGCCACCAGGCUGGCCCCUAGUUUGGGUUUACAAAUAGAACAUAUUUAUUCAUUCCAUAAAUUUAAAAGGACAGAAAAUCAAAUGAAGACACAGUUGGUAUUACUGGCAUUGCUACUCCGUAGCUGUCUGCAGAGGGUGCUACAUAUCGAGCUGCACAAAUAAUGAUCUGGUUACAUUCAACAGUGUCCCAGCAAACCACGCUUAACUUAGUUAAUAAAGUCCUAAUAGCUCAGUGGAAACGACCUUUGUGGGAGCAGAUUAUCCUUAUAUAUUGUCAGUGGCAGGUGGAGAAUAUAAUUAACAUGCUAUCUGUAACUAGGAGCUCUUGAGAGGUUAACAGGCAGUGCAUAUUUCAACAAGCAUCAUUUGAAUAGAUUAAUGCAAACUUGGGAAUGGUUCUCAGCUCCUUUUACUGAAUGUCUUGAGCCGCUAAAACCACCCUGGGAAAGAGCGAAUACCACUGAAAACAGGAUCGAUUUCCAAACCGUUGAAGGCGUUCAAAGUGUUUUAAAACUUCAGGAGCUGGGAGGUGACUCAAAAUGACUCCGUGCAAAGAUGUGACGAGAACGUGACCAUCCUCUGCUGACAAACAGUCAAGACUUUGGGAGGAAAAGCAGGAGGGUGAGCAGCCUGAGCCCCUCAGGUGGUGAAGAGCCCAGCUGAGGUUGUCACCCUUUUCAAACUGUCCCUUUAGCUUUCAAGUAUUACCAAGUGAUGGCUGAAUGAAAGCAUAUCCUUCUCUUACAAUACGAAACAUCAGAAUUUUCACUGGGGCGUUGCUUCUCACAACCGCUAUGAGGAGUUUCUGCCAUGCAGGACUUGAGUCGAGCUCUGAGAUGGGCACGAACUGGAAUGAAGUUAUUACCUUCCAGUAAAAUUGAACUUUUUACCCCCAUAGUUACAAAACUGUAAAAGUACAAAAAAUUGACGGUGAUUUUUUGGAAGACAUUUGCCAUACGAGUGGCACAAAUCCUAAGGUAAGUGGCCUUAGGAUUGUAUUUGGAGAGUGCUUCUGUCACUGUGGCAGUUGAGUCGGAAGGGCACUGUCAUUUCAAGGGUCUAGCGUGGUGUAAGAGCUCUCCCCUCUUCUCUCAUAUGCUCUAUGCACCGUCCUGAAGGGUGAGUGGAAUCUGUAUUUCACAGAGAAAUAAACUGACGUCCUGGGGGUUAGGUUGGCUGCUGAGGUCCCACAAGGGGCAGAAUCAGGAUUCAAACCUGGGUCUGCCUGAUUCCAAAGGCAGGCAGGCAGGGUCCCAGCACCCCAUGCUGUCCUCCCUGGGGUGACCUCUUAUCGUAUCCCCAGCGUCUGUAAGUGUCCUCGCAUCUUUCUGUUUUGUAGGUUUUCCUGUCCAGGCCGAGUUUGCUGGGGCAGGAAGCAGGAUUUACUCAUGUCUGAAUGCUCAGGGUCCUGAGGAAACUAGCCUAAAAUACCUUUUUAUUUUUAUCUCUACCAAUUUCUAAAAUAAAUUCCGAUUUCUUAUAGCAAGAAAGAAACCAUCAAAAGUUCUAAGGAAGACAGUAAUUAGAAGCAGGAGGACCCCAGGAGGGAGAGAGGCGUCCUUAUGGGUUUGAAUGUUUUGAGAAGCAAUUUCCACGUCAGUUGGCAAUUUAGGAUGAAUUAGGGAUAGGUACUGAGAAAAAUCAGCAAAUUAUUAACUUAGUGGUAACAGAAAGUUGCACUAGAAAUGGCAUCAUGGUACAGUAUAUACAUAGUUGUAAUAACGAAUAUUUAAUACUAAAUAGUGAUUUCACCAAGACUUGUGAUACAGCUCUGUUGGGAAGCUAAGUAUGUGGGGUGGGGAGGAGAUAGCAGAGGGAAAUCUUAGCCUUCCAGGGUAGCCAGGCAAUGGAAAAAUCCAGAAAUAGCAGUAUAAGCAUAUUGUUCAGAAAUAUAGAGGUAACAGGCAGAAGAAACACUGAAGGAGCUAGAAGUGGGGGCUUCUGGGCAAUGGUGAGCGGGGUGCUUCAGAGAAGAGGCAAGGGAGCCGCUGCUUUUCAUGGUGAGCUUUCCCAUUGUACAACUUUUGACUUUUUAAGGUGCAUGUAACUUUGAAAGAGAUAAAAUAAAUUAUAAAAGUAAAGUGAGUGGCAGCUGGGACCUGUUUCAGAGUGGAAACCACAUCCUGAGUUGAACCUUUAGACCAUGGGACAGUCUCUGAAGUACUCAAGCGUGAAUUCUUGCAUGACUGGCCACCUGAAGCAUCAAGUAAUUUUGGGUGACUAAACUGAAAUAAUAAAAGAUAAACUUUCAGGGUUUCAGUGCUAUAGUCGUCAGGACUCUAGCUGUAGAACAUAGUGUGGAAAAUAAAACAAUAAGAAUCAGACAUUACUUGAGCACGCGUUGCUACUCCAAAUUUUUCUGUUUUCUGUUGCUGUCAUCAGAGGGGAAAACGAAGCGUAUUUUCAUAAACAGAGCUCACCUGGACUGAGCAGUCAGUAUAUAUGUAUAUAUAUAUAUAUCCCGGACCCUACAGAAACCACUUCCGCCUUUAACCUUUAGAUCAACGAACAGUUUCUGAAAUGGCAAGCGUGGAUUUCUGCACAAUCUACCGUGUCCAGCCAGAAAUAGUUUAAGUGGACUAAUAUUAAAUACAACGUUUAUUUUUAGGGUUUUAGGAGUAAGUGACAUAGCAAAAUCACACACAACAGAAACCAAAAUGGAGUAGAGUAAACCAUCUUUUUUAAGCACCUGUUUUUCUUCCCAACUAUUAACCUCAUCCUGCCUCUCCAAGCUAGGAUGCCAUUCUGAGGGAUGUUUUAAUAUAAACUGCUAACUUUUGCUGAGCCCCAAGAUAGGCCUGGCAGAGCCUUCAACUUUUAGAUACUUCCAGAAGAGCUGAAGUUUCAGUUCUGGGGGGUGCAGGUCCACGCUGGAAGAGUUCAUAAGGCGUGAACAAACCAACUCAAAUAAUUGUCAAGGCAGUGUGAAGUUUAAAAAAAAAGAUUUACUUUAGGACUUGCCUGGAAGUUGAGUUAUUUAUGAUAGAGCAUGUGGAUAUCUUCGACACAUCAAGUCAAUAUGACAGCGUUUUAAUCAAAUCUUCUACUUGGUAAAAACGACUUGACAGUGAUGUACAAAUGGGGCGAGCCACAGGUGUGUACGGCCCUGGGUGGCAGAAAAAUGAACAACUCCUUUGCAGGGGGCAAUGCCAGUGGGCACGGCCCUAGGAACCAGGGCCUGGUUCCAUGAUGGUUGAUAAAGUAGACAUGGCCAGCUCUCUGCAGGGCUGGGCUGCUCCAGUAGUUGGGACCAGUAGAGGCCAACAUCUCCUGAGCACCUGCCAGGUGCUGUGUACCGUGCUAGGGGCUUUGUGCGCACAAUCUCUGUGCAUCCUUGUGCAUCACCAUCAAGUGUCCCACUGAUAGACGUGGGAGCUGUGGCCUAGAGAAGGCCAGGACCACAGGGAGCAGACAAGCGCUAAGGCAGUGCUGUGACCCACUUCUCCAAGCCUGUCCUGUGACAGCCAUGCUCCCUGCAUCUGUUGCCUCUGAAGGCCACAGGGAUUUCCUGUCUGAGCUGCGUGGGUGUUUCCUGAAAUAGUCUUCUGGGUCGGAAGGGUGAUUGAUGUAUGUUAUCUGUGCCGUCUUUGACAUUUAGUUGUUUGGCUCCACCUACAUUUGUACUGAUGCUUUGGUUUCAGGAAGAUCUAGCCCGAGCAACAAAUCCUCACUCACGCUGUAGUGGGGGACAGGGAGAAGAGAAGGGACUGACUUAACUGUCCAACCUGGGGUUUACUCAAGAUGAAGUUUUCCUUCCUUUCUUAAAACAAAGAAAAUAAAACAUUUUAAGACCAGCCUUAGUCUCCUAAGCGUAGAAUGGACAACAUCUCUGCGUGGCUUCUUAGAAACACAGAGGACCCCUGAUGCUGGUGCAAAGCUCCCGGCCCUGGUUUAGCAUCAUUUAUGUUGGUUUUAGGAACUAUGGCAGCCAUCAUCUGAAAGUUUUUAGGAGAGCACAAUGGAAAAGAAGAUGAUGUGUUGAAGUAAUUCCUAAUGAGCUGGCAUUGCUAAGAAGAGGGCAGCCCUAGCUGAGCCGCCCCAGAUGACACCAUGAGGAGGAGAAACUGUCCACUGCGCCCUACUCCAAUGCCCGACUCACAGACGCAUGACUGACAAGGUGACUGUUGUCCUAAGUGACUAAGUUUUGGUGUACAUUGUUACAUGGCUAUAGCUGACUGAGACAGACGUUUAUUAGAAAGAGCCUAAGCUGGAAAGAUUCAUAGAUUCACGGGCCAAGGUUGAAUCCAAGCCAGCUAACCUCAUGAGACAGAAAAGGUCCACAGAGAAGAAGGUGACACAGGGAGGAAGGUACAGAGGGAAACAGAGUCCCCACGAAGGGGAAGAUCAAGCUAGUUCUGUGCUGAGAGGUAAAUCCGACGGCCUGAUCCUUAGAGGAGAACUUUGCACAACGCCUGCAACGUGGCAGAAAGUCAAAAAGUACCUGUUGAAUAAACAAACGAAUUUGGGAGGCAGUCAGCCUUCCUGUUCUACUUAUCUCCAUUCCAUCAGCAAAACACAUUCCUCCCAACUGUGUCAGCGGGUUUCCUGUUCCUCUUGUGAGCCAUUUUGUGCUUCCUAAUAAGACUCAGUUUCUCUGCUGUGUUUGUUCACUGGGAUUCAAGUGGCUUUCCUCAGGCAAAAUGUCAAGGGUUCCAGAAUUCUUAUACAGGGCACGCUGGAGAGGAGAAAUCUGGCCAAAAGGAGAUGCUGGAGGUCUCUCUUGUUUUCAGAGUAUAACCUAUAUAGAAUAG
rnacentral:lncRNA from 1 species